rnacentral:tRNA from 1 species
UGGGGUAUCGUCUAGUGGUAGGACAACAGAUUCUGGCUCUGUUAACAGUGGUUCGAAUCCAUUUACCCCAGCCA